AUACGGAGGAUGCGAGCGUUAUCCGGAUUUAUUGGGUUUAAAGGGAGCGUAGGUGGGAUAUUAAGUCAGCUGUGAAAGUUUGGGGCUCAACCUUAAAAUUGCAGUUGAUACUGGUUUCCUUGAGUACGGUACAGGUGGGCGGAAUUCGUGGUGUAGCGGUGAAAUGCUUAGAUAUCACGAAGAACUCCGAUCGCGAAGGCAGCUCACCGGGCCGGAACUGACACUGAUGCUCGAAAGUGCGGGGAUCAAACAGGAUUAGAUACCCGGGUAGUGCGCAGAGUAAACGAUGAAUACUCGCUGUUUGCGAUACACGGUAAGCGGCCAAGCGAAAGCGUUAAGUAUUCCACCUGGGGAGUACGCCGGCAACGGUGAAACUCAAAGGAAUUGACGGGG
rnacentral:rRNA from 1 species